rnacentral:rRNA from 1 species
UCGAGAAUCAUUCACAAUGGGCGAAAGCCUGAUGGUGCGACGCCGCGUGGAGGAUGAAGGCCCUCGGGUUGUAAACUCCUGUCAUCAGGGAGUAAGUCGGUUGGCGUUAAUAGCGCCGGCUGUUGUUAGUACCUGAAGAGGAAGAGACGGCUAACUCUGUGCCAGCAGCCGCGGUAAUACAGAGGUCUCAAGCGUUGUUCGGAUUUACUGGGCGUAAAGCGUGCGUAGGCGGCGAGGUAAGUCAGAUGUGAAAGCUCGGGGCUCAACCCCGAAAAUGCAUCCGAUACUGCCUUGCUAGAGUGAUGGAGGGGAGUCUGGAAUUCACGGUGUAGCAGUGAAAUGCGUAGAUAUCGUGAGGAACACUAGUGGCGAAGGCGAGACUCUGGACAUCUACUGACGCUGAGGCACGAAGGCUAGGGUAGCGAAGCGGAUUAGAUACCCCCGUAGUCC